AACUUCAUCACAAAAGGUGGGCGUAACUCGUGUAAUUUUUGUUGGAUGAGAUCGAUGAUACUUCCAAGAUGAUAAAUCAAAUAGUACGAUUUUUACGGAACUUAAUGCGAAACAUCGUGAUUUUCUUAAUAAAUAAUGUAAAUAAAAUUCACACAAAUCAAAACCUCAUUGUGUGAAUGUAUGUUAUUUCAUACAUAAAAAAAAUGAAAAUAUUCAUACGUGCAAAGAAGAUUGCUUAGUUUUUCUCUCGGGACGAGGAGAAUGUUCGCGCGAUAAAUCGAAUUUACAUGUCCAAUACGUGAUGGAAACCUUCCAUCGCAUCGAGUCGUACGUCCUGGCACCGUUUCUCUCCGUAGUUCUCUGUCUUUUUUCUUCCCGGACACGUACGUUUAACAAGAGAGCGAAGCAGGUUGCGGGCGGAUGACAAACAAAGAGCGCCGUGACCUCGUCGCCUUGUGCGUGAGGUGCGAUUAGCGCGAACGACUCUCUCGCGCGUGCGAGCGAGCGAGUGAGUGAGUGAGCGAGCGAGUCGUCGCGUCGGGUCGGUCGCGAAAGAUGUGGGAGGAAGGCAAAGAGAGAAGGAAGCACGCGCGGACGAAGGAAGGAUAAACGAAGGAAGGAAGAAGUCGGGUACGUAAGCCGACCAAAGGUCGAGUGCUGACCACGAGUCAUCUCGGUUGCGACAACUCGCGCUGCUGUUAACUUUUGCGUGUCUCGCUACGUUGUACAAAAAUCAAAUGUAAAAAAAGAAUCUCUACGUCAGAAUUCAAAUUUUUCGCGAAAGAAAUUGUGAAAGAUGCAAAAAGAAUAUUGUGAGGAUGCAAAAACGAAAAGAUAACAAUGUAUUCUUUAUAUUAUUUUUAACAGUUUAUAUAUAUCGUGGAUUUAUUAUUCUGAGAAUCGAUUAACGUCGAUACGCCUAUACGCGAUAAGAUACGAACAAUUAAAACGAGUGUUUUCGAAAGGCAGACGGGACAGGUCGCGCGCAGAGAUGAAACACAAGACAACCACGCGCGCGAUGAGCGAUUAGUGUUGGAUUAUCUCACCUGCGAAGUCACCGAGAAGGUCAGAGCGUGACGAUAGAAGAACAAGAAAAGAAGCGACGGACUGGAAGCGGGUACUUUACUCGAUCAAAGGUCGAGCCUCGCGCAUAACUUGCCGUAGCAUCGAUAAACGAGUUCCCUAUCGCGCUUUCCAUUUUCGCUCGUGGAGAUGGCAUCUCGCCAUAUGGCGGAUGAACGACGAGGCACAUACGGGGAAUUAACGCGAGAAGUUAUUGACAAAUAGAUAGUAUAUACAUGCCGCUAAUUGCCACGUGGCGCAGGUGACUGGAAGAACGGAACAUCUCGACAAUGAAGCUCAACAGGUUGCCGGCGGAUAGCAGCGAGCUUGACUACUGCCGUACGAACGGCAAUUAGCACGGGCGAUUCUUUCGCGUAUAUAACAUCACCGUGGACAAAAACUUGAGGAAACGCGCGAGGCGCAUCCGCGCAUGGAGAGUCUAAAUCACUUCAUUGUUAAGUCCCACGACAAAAACGCAGUAGUUUCGCAAAACAAGAUGCUGCUGCGGAAUAAAUCAAUGCAUUUUUAAGCGCAUUGUAUUCAUUGAUAUACCGUUAACAUAACCCUCGUACAAUCAUCGUCCUUUGAUAUUGCAGAGAGGCUGCAGUUUUACGACACGAUGCCUCGACGAGAGUCCGGAGACUUUUGCGGAGGACUGUACCCUACCGAGCAAGCAGUUAGCAUUAGGCACGAUGACGAAGAAGGCCAGGGACUCGGUGAGAUGAUAGCGAGCGCGUUCGCUGACGGCUCGCAUCGGUCACACCGCAGGUGACUCGUCGCGGUCUGAGCCUGGCCUCUGCCCGACCCACGUACCUGAUUCUAUCCGGUGUCCUUCUCCGUCAUCUCUAACUCCCGUUUUCUCUCUCGUGCAGAAACGCGAGAGAUAUCCGCGGACUCUACUAAACAACGAGGUCUUGAAUACCUUGUAUGUGGAAAAAUUUUUUCUACAUAUCUUUGUUAAGAGAGCAGAUAAAUCUCUCUGUAACCGUUAAUUUCAAACAGGAGGUAUCGCGUAUACGUAAUUUCUAAUUAUAAAAACGAGAAAAUUCUUUACGCUCUCGCGCAGAACACGUUAAAAAUGUAUAAACUAUUGUUAAUAAAAGAGAGCCAAGCUUUUUACGUA